GAUGAACGCUGGCGGCGUGCCUAAUACAUGCAAGUCGAGCGAACGGACGAGAAGCUUGCUUCUCUGAUGUUAGCGGCGGAAGGGGGAGUAACACGUGGAUAACCUACCUAUAAGACUGGGAUAAAUUCGUGAAACCGGAGCUUAAUCCGGAUAAUAUUCUGAACCGCAUGGUUCAAGAGUGAAAGACGGUCUUGCUGUCACUUAUAGAUGGUUCCGCGCUGCAUUAGCUAGUUGGUAAGGUAACGGCUUACCAAGGCAACCAUUCAUAACCGACCUGGGAGGGUGAUCGGCCCCACUGGAACUUGGACACGGUCCAGACUCCUACGGGAGGCAGCAGUAGGGAAUCUUCCGCAAUGGGCGGAAGCCUGACGGAGCAACGCCGCGUGGGUGAUGGAGGUCUUCGGAUCGUAAAACUCUGUUAUUAGGGAAGAACAUAUGUGUAAGUAACUGCGCACAUCUUGACGGUAACUAGUCAGAAAGCCACGGCUAACUACGUG
rnacentral:rRNA from 1 species